UUGUUACCUUGAUAUCUUUUCCCUUUUGCAGUGAAUCAAUCCAUAUAAUUUGCCUUCGUUCUCCUGAAAUGUAUUGGUUUCUAUUCGAUCCAAGGUGUGAUCUUAUGUAUUUCUUUAACAGUUUGAUCGAUAUAUUUUGUGGAAUUUUCCAUAUCACACGGAUUAGUGAGAUCUCUUGGUCAGAGUCUCAGAUUGAUAUCUUUAUGUUUCUUCAUCUUCAAAUAUCUCUGUAUUAAUGUGAAAAUUAAUGCUUUUGCAUUUUAAAUUUUAUGCCACUAGAUGAAAGUGUGCUAAAUCCUCGAACCGUUUUGUGUUUGCUUCCAAUAGAUACUUCUAUAGCCCAUUCAACAAUUUAUCAGGAUUCUGAACUGUUUUCAUUUGCAGGAAACUGAAGAAAAGAAGAGGAGAUUGCUGGAGGCAAGACUAAGGAAACGUAAACUCUUGGCUGAAGUCCGAUUUUUGAGAAGAAAACUUGAUACCUCACUUGCAAACCCGUAUCAGCAAGUUAGAUUGAAGGACCCAUCAAGUACAAUUCCAGUGAUCAAACCUCCUACAGAAAAGAAACUCAAAGUAUCUGGAGCUGCACGUACAAGUAACUACAUUAUAGAUAACUUGUACGCAAAUGCAUCUCAGUAUCAGUUUAAAAAGAUGUUUCAGAAAAAGCCAACCAAAUCUCUUUGUGUUGCACAAUCUUCGGGUUUUAGGAAGGCCACCAUCAAAACAUGAUGACAAUGGAAGUUACAAAUGCUAGCACUUCUGCAACUCUAGGUGCGAAUGAAGUAUCGUUUAAGAAUGGGGAGGAACUGAACAAGUUUCAGUUGGAGCAGUAUUACAUACAAAUGGAGAGACUCAAUGGAGUGCCUAUGAUUGGAGGAGGCUCAAAUGAUAAGUUAGCGAGUUGCAGACAUCUUGGAAACAACUCAAAGAAGAGCGGUAAGAGAAAACUCUCAUGGCGAGACCCACCGACCGAAUAAAUCGGGAAGCAAUUACGGCAGACAGCAAAGGACCUUCAGCUUCUAGCAAGACUUGUUCCACCUGAUUAAUUUUUGGGUGUCAUCAGAUAUUGUCAUGGUCCUUCCUUCAAUUUAUUUCAAUGCAAGGAACAUGCUUGAUCUUGUGAUAAUCUUCUCCAGUAUCCUUGUUGACCCUUCUCUCUAUCAUUUCCAUUCCCCUUAUUUCAAUUUGUUUAAGCUCAGUCAAUCUUACAAGUCCCUCUGGUAGCAUUCUCAAAUUUAUGCAGUCCCAAAGUCUUAGUUCCCGAAGGAGAGGCAUUGCUCCCUCUCCCACUUCCCACUGCUCCAAGGUGUUCAAAUCACCCAGUAUGAUCUCUUGGAGACGAGGAAAACCUCCCUUUGGAAACACCAAAACUCUUCCUACAAAUGCAUCAA